UAACGCGUGGAUAACCUGCCUCACACUGGGGGAUAACAGUUAGAAAUGACUGCUAAUACCGCAUAAGCGCACAGCACCGCAUGGUACAGUGUGAAAAACUCCGGUGGUGUGAGAUGGAUCCGCGUCUGAUUAGCCAGUUGGCGGGGUAACGGCCCACCAAAGCGACGAUCAGUAGCCGACCUGAGAGGGUGACCGGCCACAUUGGGACUGAGACACGGCCCAA
rnacentral:rRNA from 1 species